rnacentral:rRNA from 1 species
AUGCAAGUCGAACGAAGUAGCAAUACUUAGUGGCAGACGGGUGAGUAACAUGUAGGUAUCUGCCCUUUGGCCUGGAAUAACACGAGGAAACUUGUGCUAAUACCGGAUAAGUCUUUACGGAGAAAGCUUUAUGCACCAUUGGAUGAGCCUGCACUUGAUUAGUUUGUUGGUGGGGUAAUGGCCUACCAAGACUGUGAUCAAUAGCUGAUUUGAGAGGAUGAUCAGCCACAUUGGGACUGAGACACGGCCCAAACUCCUACGGGAGGCAGCAGUGGGGAAUCUUGCACAAUGGAGGAAACUCUGAUGCAGCGAUGCCGCGUGUGUGAAGAAGGCCUUCGGGUUGUAAAGCACUUUAAGCAGGGAGAAAAAGCUAUAAGUUAAUACCUUAUAGCCGUGAUGUUACCUGCAGAAUAAGCACCGGCUAAUUCCG